UCCCUGGUGGUCCAGUGGUUAGGACUCAGCGCUUUCACCCCUGAGGGCUCAGGUUCAAUCCCUGGUUGGGAAA
rnacentral:tRNA from 1 species